rnacentral:rRNA from 1 species
UGGGGAAUAUUGCACAAUGGGCGCAAGCCUGAUGCAGCCAUGCCGCGUGUAUGAAGAAGGCCUUCGGGUUGUAAAGUACUUUCAGCGGGGAGGAAGGGAGUAAAGUUAAUACCUUUGCUCAUUGACGUUACCCGCAGAAGAAGCACCGGCUAACUCCGUGCCAGCAGCCGCGGUAAUACGGAGGGUGCAAGCGUUAAUCGGAAUUACUGGGCGUAAAGCGCACGCAGGCGGUUUGUUAAAUCAGAUGUGAAAUCCCCGGGCUCAACCUGGGAACUGCAUCUGAUACUGGCAAGCUUGAGUCUCGUAGAGGGGGGUAGAAUUCCAGGUGUAGCGGUGAAAUGCGUAGAGAUCUGGAGGAAUACCGGUGGCGAAGGCGGCCCCCUGGACGAAGACUGACGCUCAGGUGCGAAAGCGUGGGGAGCAAACAGG